rnacentral:rRNA from 1 species
AUUGAACGCUGGCGGCAGGCUUAACCCAUGCAAGUCGAACGAGUGGCGGACGGGUGAGUAAUUCUUGGGAAUCUGGAUUAUGGAGGGGGAUCACUACGGGAAACUGUAGCUAAUACCGCGUACACUAGGAUGAGCCAAAGUGGGCUGAGCUAGUUGGUGAGGUACAGGCUCACCAAGCCGACGAUCUCUAGCUGGUCUGAGAGGAUGACAAGCCACACUGGGACUGAGACACGGCCCAGACUCCUACGGGGGUCAGCAGUGGGGAAUAUUGCGCAAUGGGGGCAACCUGACGCAGCCAUGCCGCGGGAAUGAAGAAGGCCUUAGGUUUGUAAAGUUCUUUCGGUCGCGAGGCGUGAACUGCAGAAGAAGCACCGGCUAACUCCGUGCCAGCAGCCGCGGUAAUUC